AGUGAACGCUGGCGGUAGGCCUAACACAUGCAAGUCGAACGGCAGCACAGUAAGAGCUUGCUCUUACGGGUGGCGAGUGGCGGACGGGUGAGGAAUACAUCGGAAUCUACUUUUUCGUGGGGAUAACGUAGGGAAACUUACGCUAACACCGCAUACGACCUACGGGUGAAAGCAGGGGAUCUUCGGACCUUGCGCGAUUGAAUGAGCCGAUGUCGGAUUAGCUAGUUGGCGGGGUAAAGGCCCACCAAGGCGACGAUCCGUAGCUGGUCUGAGAGGAUGAUCAGCCACACUGGAACUGAGACACGGUCCAGACUCCUACGGGAGGCAGCAGUGGGGAAUAUUGGACAAUGGGCGCAAGCCUGAUCCAGCCAUACCGCGUGGGUGAAGAAGGCCUUCGGGUUGUAAAGCCCUUUUGUUGGGAAAGAAAAGCAGCAGGUUAAUACCCCGCUGUUCUGACGGUACCCAAAGAAUAAGCACCGGCUAACUUCGUG
rnacentral:rRNA from 1 species